GGAGGUAGAGCUCAGUAGUAGAGCGCGUGCUUAGCAUGCACAAGGUCCUAGGUCCAAUCCCCUGUACUUCCA
rnacentral:tRNA from 1 species